UACGGAGGGGGCUAGCGUUGUUCGGAUUCACUGGGCGUAAAGGGUGCGUAGGUGGUGAGGUAAGUCGGAUGUGAAAGCUCGGAGCUCAACUCCGAAAUGGCAUUGGAAACUACCUUGCUCGAGGGUUGGAGGGGGGACUGGAAUGCUUGGUGUAGCAGUGAAAUGCGUAGAUAUCAAGCGGAACACCAGUGGCGAAGGCGAGUCCCUGGACAACUCCUGACACUGAGGCACGAAAGCUAGGGGAGCAAACAGG
rnacentral:rRNA from 1 species